ensembl:snRNA U6 U6 spliceosomal RNA
GUGCUCACUUCAGCAGCACAUACACUAAAAUCAGAAUGAUAUGAAGAUUAGUAUGGCCCCUUCAUUAAGAAUGACAUGCAAAUUCACAUUCCAUAUUUUU